GGAAUUAUAUGACAUGAGGCCAAAACAAAGAAAGGUUUACUCUGGUUAUAAAGCACCUAAGCAACUCAUCCAAAACCUUAAUUACCUUAGCACCUAUUUACUAGAUGUGGUUACCAACACCAUAAGCUCCAAACCACCAAGCCAACCCCUCUACUAGUUGCUUUUCCAAUCUCCACACUAUAGCCCUAGCACCGCCGCUGCCCAAUCCCCAAGCACUAGCACCACCGCC
rnacentral:lncRNA from 1 species